UGGGGAAUAUUGCACAAUGGGCGCAAGCCUGAUGCAGCCAUGCCGCGUGUGUGAAGAAGGCCUUCGGGUUGUAAAGCACUUUCAGCGAGGAGGAAGGUGGUGAGCUUAAUACGCUCAUCAAUUGACGUUACUCGCAGAAGAAGCACCGGCUAACUCCGUGCCAGCAGCCGCGGUAAUACGGAGGGUGCAAGCGUUAAUCGGAAUUACUGGGCGUAAAGCGCACGCAGGCGGUUUGUUAAGUCAGAUGUGAAAUCCCCGGGCUCAACCUGGGAACUGCAUUUGAAACUGGCAAGCUAGAGUCUCGUAGAGGGGGUAGAAUUCCAGGUGGUAGCGGUGAAAUGCGUAGAGAUCUGGAGGAAUACCGGUGGCGAAGGCGGCCCCCUGGACGAAGACUGACCGCUCAAGGUGCGAAAGCGGUGGGAGCAAAACAGGAUUAGAUACCCUGGUAGUCCACGCUGUAAACGAUGUCGAUUUUGGAGGUUGUGCCCUUGAGGCGUGGCUUCCGGAGCUAACGCGUUAAAUCGACCGCCUGGGGAGUACGGCCGCAAGGUU
rnacentral:rRNA from 1 species